rnacentral:lncRNA from 1 species
AUUUCUCCCGAAAGAAGAAGAAAUUAGGACUUAAUUUGAUAUACAAGUUCCCAAGGUCAGUUCUUAAGUAUUCAAAUUCUUUUGUUGUUCCCUUCAAAAUGGAGGUACAGAUCCUCUGGUAAUUUGUGACUUUCUUCAUCUCCAGUCAACUUUUUCCUUCCGCACAAGAAGAUCUUACAGUAAACUUGAAGCAGUCACUUGAAUCAAGACCACCCAGAAAAAGAUAGAUAUGUAAAUUCUGCGCUUGUAAUCUCCAUUCUCAUUCAUCAUAAAAUCAAUUAAGAUUAAUGAACAGAGGAAACCAAGAAAUCUUUGCAGGUUUUCUUCUUGUUGGCAAUAUUGGUAAUUGUCUUUGUUGACCCCAAAAUAUGUUGCCAAUAGAUACCGGACCCACUCGCACACACGCAAGCCUGGUCCGACACGCUAAGACACGUGGACGGUCUGGAACGGGCAGAUUGAGGGCUUGGGGGCGGCCCAAAGACACGGGACAACAACGUUCGAAAUCCGACGAGACUUGUAUAACGAUUGUACGAUAAUUACCAAUUACGGUUUGUAGAAUGUGUAUGUAAUCUUGAAUUAUUUUUGUAAGAGAGUGAGAGAGAGUAAAAGAAAGAAUAUUGGUUCUUGUAUUGAAUCUUGUGUUAG